AAAUUCCAAUCAGCUUCUCAAAUUUGAGUUUUCUCAGUAUGUUGAACUUGGCCUUCAACAAUUUAUCAGGAAAAAUUCCAACGGGCACCCAACUUCAAUCCUUCAAUGCCUCCGGUUAUAUAGGAAACCAGGGGCUUUGUGGCAUGCCACUUACAGAGAGAUGUCCAGAAGAUGGGAAUUCAAAUCUGAAUCCCAAUAAUGCACGUGACAUUGAUGCAGAUGGAGAUGAUAAUCUCAUAAGCUUUGGGUUUUAUGCUAGCAUGGCUCUUGGCUUCAUUACUGGGUUUUGGGGAGUUUGUGGGACUUUAAUUCUCAAAAAGUCUUGGCGGCAUUCCUUUUUCCACUUCUUUGAAAACACGUACAACUGGAUUUAUGUUCAAGUUGCUAUUUUGAAGGCAAAGAUAAAGAGAAGAUUCCAACACUAAUAGAUGGUUGGAGAAAGUUGCAGAAAUAAUCAUCCUGCUGGCGAGGUUUCGACUACAUUUGGGAAUGGGAUGGUGUAUUACAAGCGAGCACGACUGGAUCUGCUCUUCUAUUUUACUUUCUUGUUUUGUCUGUAUUUCUUUCUCUUUAUGUAAGAUGAAAGCCAGGUCACUUGUCAGCCGCUGCAAAGUUCCCUAAUCCGUGUUGAGAGUGUUCUGUAAUCAAUGCAGUGUUAGUGUUAAAUUAGAAAUUUCAUCAUCUGUAGUUCUGUUUUUUGGCAAAGAAAAAGUAUGGCUCCUUUUAACCAUUA